rnacentral:rRNA from 1 species
CCUUCGGGUCUAGCGGCGGACGGGUUAGUAACGCGUGGGAACGUGCCCUUCACUACGGAAUAGUCCCGGGAAACUGGGUUUAAUACCGUAUACGCCCUUCGGGGGAAAGAAUUUCGGUGAAGGAUCGGCCCGCGUUAGAUUAGAUAGUUGGUGGGGUAACGGCCUACCAAGUCGACGAUCUAUAGCUGGUUUGAGAGGAUGAUCAGCAACACUGGGACUGAGACACGGCCCAGACUCCUACGGGAGGCAGCAGUGGGGAAUCUUGGACAAUGGGCGCAAGCCUGAUCCAGCCAUGCCGCGUGAGUGAUGAAGGCCUUAGGGUCGUAAAGCUCUUUCGCCAGGGAUGAUAAUGACAGUACCUGGUAAAGAAACCCCGGCUAACUCCGUGCCAGCAGCCGCGGUAAUACGGAGGGGGUUAGCGUUGUUCGGAAUUACUGGGCGUAAAGCGCACGUAGGCGGAUUAGUCAGUCAGAGGUGAAAUCCCAGGGCUCAACCCUGGAACUGCCUUUGAUACUGCUAGUCUUGAGUUCGAGAGAGGUGAGUGGAAUUCCGAGUGUAGAGGUGAAAUUCGU